UACCGCUAUUGGAGUUCGAUUAAGCCAUGCGAGUCGCGAGAAAUUAGAUUCUCGGCGUACCGCUCAGUAACACGUGGGUAACCUGCCCUAUGCUGGAUAAUAACCUCGGGAAACUGAGUAUAAUGAUCCAUAGUUCACUACGCCUGGAACGGUGAGUGGACGAAAGCUCCGGCGGCAUAGGAUGGGCCUGCGGCGUAUCAGGUUGUAGGGGGUGUAACGUACCCUCUAGCCCUCUACGCGUACGGGUGUUGGGAGACAUAGCCCGGAGAUGGAUUCUGAGACACGAAUCCAGACCCUACGGGGUGCAGCAGGCGCGAAAACUUGGCAAUGCGAGAAAUCGUGACCAGGGAACUCCAAGUGCAUCGGGUAAGACCGGUGCUUUUCUUGACUCUAAAUAGGUCUUGGAAUAAGGGGUGGGUAAGGACGGUGCCAGCCGCCGCGGUAAUACCGGCGCCUCAAGUGGUAGUCGCUUUUAUUGGGCCUAAAACGUCCGUAGCCGGUCUGAUACAUUCGUGGGUAAAUCAACCAGCUCAACUGGUUGAAUUCUGCGAGGACGGUCAGACUUGGGACCGGGAGAGGUGUGGGGUACGCUCAGGGUAGGGGUAAAAUCCUGUCAUCCUGAGCGGACCACCUGUUGCGAAGGCGCCACACUAGAACGGAUCCGACGGUCAGGGACGAAGCCUAGGGGCACGAACCGGAUUAGAUACCCGGGGUAGUCCUAGGUGUAAACGCUGUGGACUUGAUGUUGGGGGUGCUCCGAGCACUCUCAGUGUCGAAGCGAA
rnacentral:rRNA from 1 species